rnacentral:tmRNA from 1 species
GGGGGCGAUCGGUAUCGACCGGGGAGCGCUUGAGAUGAGGAAGGGUGUCGAGGACGUCAGUUACCUCGUAAAAUCUCUGGCAAAAACACAAUUGCCGACAAUUACGGCUAUGCUCUCGCUGCUUAAUUAAAAGUACCGAGCGCGUUGCGGACCUAGCCUACGGGUCCGUAAGGCGAAACUAAAGCGGGCUAGCGUCAAAGCCGUGUCUCAGGACAAUGACGCGAAAUAACACUGGGGCUCGCGCGCAGGAAGCCUGUUCGAUGGCGUCCUGCAAGCAAACUCAAAUAUCGGACUACACACCUAGAUGCCUUAUCCGGGUCUUCGCGGCACGCGGGUUCGAUUCCCGCCGCCUCCACCA